rnacentral:rRNA from 1 species
UACGUAGGGUGCGAGCGUUGUCCGGAUUUAUUGGGCGUAAAGAGCGUGUAGGCGGCCAGGUAGGUCAGCUGUGAAAACCCGGGGCUCAACCCCGGGCCUGCAUUCGAUACGGGCAGACUAGAGUUCGGUAGGGGAGUCUGGAAUUCCUGGUGUAGCGGUGAAAUGCGCAGAUAUCAGGAGGAACACCGGUGGCGAAGGCGGGACUCUGGGCCGAUACUGACGCUGAGGAGCGAAAGCGUGGGGAGCAAACAGG